UACAGAGGUCUCGAGCGUUAGGCGGAAUCACUGGGCUUAAAGCGUGUGUAGGUGGCUGGGUAAGUACCUUGUGAAAUCCCACAGCUUAACUGUGGAACUGCUGGGUAUACUGCCUGUCUUGAGUCACUCAGGGGCGAGCGGAACAGAUGGUGGAGCGGUGAAAUGCGUAGAUAUCAUCUGGAACGCCAAUGGUGAAGACAGCUCGCUGGGGGUGUACUGACACUGAGACACGAAAGCCAGGGGAGCGAACGGG
rnacentral:rRNA from 1 species